AGCAGCCGCGGUAAUUCCAGCUCCAAUAGCGUAUAUUAAAGUUGUUGCAGUUAAAAAGCUCGUAGUUGAAUUUCGGGAUCAAUAUAUCGGUCGUGCCUUGGUACGUACUGGUAUCAUUGGUUUCUCCUUUCUGACGAACCAUGAUGUCAUUAAUUUGGUGUUAUGGGAAGUUAGGACUGUUACUUUGAAAAAAUUAGAGUGUUUAAAGCAGGCUUUAGCUUGAAUACAUUAGCAUGGAAUAAUGAAAUAGGACGUUCGAUCCUAUUUCGUUGGUUUCUAGGAUCGACGUAAUGAUUAAUAGGGAUAGUUGGGGGCAUUAGUAUUCAAUUGUCAGAGGUGAAAUUCUUGGAUUUAUUGAAGACUAACUACUGCGAAAGCAUUUGCCAAGGAUGUUUUCAUUAAUCAAGAACGAAAGUUAGGGGAUCGAAGACGAUCAGAUACCGUCGUAGUCUUAACCAUAAACUAUGCCGACUAGGGAUCGGAUGAUAGUUAAUUUUUAAUGUACUCAUUCGGCGCCUUA
rnacentral:rRNA from 1 species